rnacentral:rRNA from 1 species
UACGAAGGGUGCAAGCGUUACUCGGAAUUACUGGGCGUAAAGCGUGCGUAGGUGGUUCGUUAAGUCUGAUGUGAAAGCCCUGGGCUCAACCUGGGAAUGGCACUGGAUACUGGCGACCUAGAGUGCGGUAGAGGGGUGUGGAAUUCCCGGUGUAGCAGUGAAAUGCGUAGAUAUCGGGAGGAACAUCUGUGGCGAAGGCGACACCCUGGACCAGCACUGACACUGAGGCACGAAAGCGUGGGGAGCAAACAGG